UAGUUCCUACGGGACGCAGCAGUGAGGAAUAUUGGUCAAUGGACGCAAGUCUGAACCAGCCAAGUAGCGUGCAGGAUGACGGCCCUCCGGGUUGUAAACUGCUUUUAGUUGGGAAUAAAAGGGGGCUCGUGAGCCCCGUAUUGUAUGUACCAUCAGAAAAAGGACCGGCUAAUUCCGUGCCAGCAGCCGCGGUAAUACGGAAGGUCCGGGCGUUAUCCGUAUUUAUUGGGUUUAAAGGGAGCGUAGGCCGGCUUUUAAGUCAGCUGUGAAAGUCCGCGGCUCACCCGCGGCAUUG
rnacentral:rRNA from 1 species